CAACAAUGAACACUGCUUUAAACGUGGACACACAACCUAAGGUAGUUCAGCUUAAACUUCUUGGAAAAGACCGAUCCCCUUUAAAUCCUCCCUAAAGUGUAAUUCCAGGUGUACAGACUGGAGUGCCUUUUAGAUAAUGCUGAAAUUUCAGCUUAUGUGUCCUAACUUUCCCAAAUCAAAUAUAAUCGGGCCCAGUGUAUUUAAUAUGGGUGCAGUUUGCCAAUAAAACAAAAUGACAAACAAUGGGACCAUGAUUUGUGCAGAACACAAAUGAAACAUAUAACAAAUACACACCUUCUCUUGUUUGUUUCUCAUUCUUUAGCAAUACUUAGGAAACUUGGGAGUUUUCCAGAUUCUUCAUUGAUCAAAGACUUCUGCCGAG